AGUGAACGCUGGCGGUAGGCCUAACACAUGCAAGUCGAACGGCAGCACAGUAAGAGCUUGCUCUUACGGGUGGCGAGUGGCGGAAGGGUGAGGAAUACAUCGGAAUCUACUUUUUCGUGGGGGAUAACGUAGGGAAACUUACGCUAAUACCGCAUACGACCUACGGGUGAAAGCAGGGGAUCUUCUGACCUUGCGCGAUUGAAUGAGCCGAUGUCGGAUUAGCUAGUUGGCGGGGUAAAGGCCCACCAAGGCGACGAUCCGUAGCUGGUCUGAGAGGAUGAUCAGCCACACUGGAACUGAGACACGGUCCAGACUCCUACGGGAGGCAGCAGUGGGGAAUAUUGGACAAUGGGCGCAAGCCUGAUCCAGCCAUACCGCGUGGGUGAAGAAGGCCUUCGGGUUGUAAAGCCCUUUUGUUGGGAAAGAAAAGCAGCAGGUUAAUACCCCGCUGUUCUGACGGUACCCAAAGAAUAAGCACCGGCUAACUUCGUG
rnacentral:rRNA from 1 species